rnacentral:rRNA from 1 species
AGGACGAACGCUGGCGGCGUGCUUAAUACAUGCAAGUCGAGCGAGAAGCCACCGCUCCGUAAGGAGUGGUGGUGGAAAGCGGCGAACGGGUGAGUAACACGUGGGUAAUGUGCCCUGAACAUCGGGAUAACAGCCGGAAACGGCUGCUAAUACCGAAUAACCCUGCAACGUCGCAUGACGAAGCAGGCAAAGUUCCGGCGGUUCAGGAUCAGCCCGCGGUGUAUCAGCUUGUUGGUGGGGUAACGGCCUACCAAGGCUUUGACGCAUAGCUGGCGUGAGAGCGCGACCAGCCACACUGGGACUGAGACACGGCCCAGACUUC